GACGAACGCUGGCGGCGUGCCUAAUACAUGCAAGUCGAGCGAACAGACGAGGCGCUUGCUCCUCUGACGUUAGCGGCGGACGGGUGAAUAACACGUGGAUAACCUACCUAUCAGAGUGAGAUAACUUCGGGACACCGGAGCAAAUACCGUAUAAUAUAUUGAUCCGCAUGGUUCAAUAGAGAAAGACGGUUGUGCUGUAACGUAUAGAUGGAUAUGCGCUGCAUUAGCUAGUUGGUACGGUAACGGCUUAUCACGGCAACGAUGCGUAUCCGACGUGAGAGAGGGGUCGCCGACACUGGAGCGUAGACACGGUCCAUGCUCCUGAGGUAGGCAGCAGUAGGGAAUCUGCCGCAGUGGUCGAGAGCCUUACGGAGCAGCGCCGCGUGAGAUGUGAAGGUCUUCGGAGCGGAAAACUCUGUUUUUAGGGAAGAACAAAUUUGUAAGUAACUAUGCACGUCUUGACGGUAACUAGUCAGAAAGCCACGGCUAACUACGUG
rnacentral:rRNA from 1 species